CAAACCCAGUAUAUCAACCCCAGUUUGACUCACCAUCUUCGCUUGAUCGUCGCUCUCGUCUCACUGUUGCUGCCUUUCUUGUCACCCUGUCUCCAGUCAGCUGGCUCCUCCAUCCAGUCCCUCCCUCUCGGUCCCUGCACCAGCCUGCCCCAGCCCUCGCCACUCCGUGCUACAGUGCUCUCUGCCCCGGUCUCCAUGUGUCUCUGUUCCCGGCUCCAGCCCCCGUGCUCGUGCUCCCUGGCAUCCACCUUCCCACUUCCCCAUCUUUUCCAAUAAAAUAUCUUGUGUUGA